AGUAAAACAGUACGUGAAAUUGUUGAAAGGGAAACGAUUGAAGUCAGUCAUGCCGGCGCUGGAUUCAGCUCACUUCGCGGAGUAGGCGUAUUUCCACGCAUGGCAGGUCAGCGUCAGUUUUGCGCGGCGUGAAAAGGCUCGGGUAAGGUAGCUCUCUCCGGAGAGUGUUAUAGACCUGGGCAAAUGCACUGCGCGGGACUGAGGAUUGCAGCGGACACCCCCCUCGGGGGCGCGGCGACCGAACCCUGCUCGGCCACCCGUUUUCGAUAGCGUGCUAACGAACGUGGGAGCGGCAGUGCACCGGAACAGGCAAGCCAGCGGUUCGCUAAGGAUGCUGACGUAAUGGCUUUAAA
rnacentral:misc_RNA from 1 species